AAGAUUUUAAAGGUCGAACAGACCUACUAUUAUAGCUACUGCACCAAAAAGAAAUCUUAAUCCAACAUCGAGGUCGCAAACUUAUUUUUCAAUAAGAACUCUAAAAAUAAAUUACG
rnacentral:rRNA from 1 species